rnacentral:tRNA from 1 species
GCCCAGAUGGCGGAAUUGGUAGACGCGCUGGUCUCAAACACCAGUGGUAGCAAUAUCGUGCCGGUUCGACUCCGGCUCUGGGCA